rnacentral:snoRNA from 1 species
GCAUGGCUUAGGAUUUAUGGGUGGUAUCUAUUCUGUGAUCCGCUCAUAGUAUACUUCAUGCUAAAUCAAAUACUGUCCAAACCAUUGAUGGGCCUCCAUAGGUCUCAUUCACUGAAAUGGGCAGAACAGUC